rnacentral:rRNA from 1 species
AGCGAACGCUGGCGGCAGGCUUAACACAUGCAAGUCGAGCGGGCGUAGCAAUACGUCAGCGGCAGACGGGUGAGUAACGCGUGGGAACGUACCUUUUGGUUCGGAACAACUGAGGGAAACUUCAGCUAAUACCGGAUAAGCCCUUACGGGGAAAGAUUUAUCGCCGAAAGAUCGGCCCGCGUCUGAUUAGCUAGUUGGUGAGGUAAUGGCUCACCAAGGCGACGAUCAGUAGCUGGUCUGAGAGGAUGAUCAGCCACAUUGGGACUGAGACACGGCCCAAACUCCUACGGGAGGCAGCAGUGGGGAAUAUUGGACAAUGGGCGCAAGCCUGAUCCAGCCAUGCCGCGUGAGUGAUGAAGGCCCUAGGGUUGUAAAGCUCUUUUGUGCGGGAAGAUAAUGACGGUACCGCAAGAAUAAGCCCCG